rnacentral:rRNA from 1 species
UACAGAGGUCUCAAGCGUUGUUCGGAAUUACUGGGCGUAAAGCGUGCGUAGACGGUAGCGUAAGUCAGAUGUGAAAGCCCCGGGCUCAACCUGGGAACUGCAUUUGAGACUGCUCUGCUCGGGUGCGGAAGAGGGAAGCGGAAUUUCCGGUGUAGCGGUGAAAUGCGUAGAUAUCGGAAGGAACACCAGUGGCGAAAGCGGCUUCCUGGUCCAGCACCGACGUUCAGGCACGAAAGCGUGGGGAGCAAACAGG